rnacentral:rRNA from 1 species
UACGUAGGGUGCGAGCGUUAAUCGGAAUUACUGGGCGUAAAGCGUGCGCAGGCGGUUCGCCAAGUCAGGUGUGAAAUCCCCGGGCUUAACCUGGGAAUUGCGCUUGAAACUAGCGGGCUUGAGUGUGGCAGAGGGGGGUGGAAUUCCAGGUGUAGCGGUGAAAUGCGUAGAUAUCUGGAGGAACACCGGUGGCGAAGGCGGCAUCCUGGACCGGUAUUGACGCUGAGGCGCGAAAGCCAGGGGAGCAAACGGG